rnacentral:rRNA from 1 species
GAUGAACGCUAGCGGCAGGCCUAACACAUGCAAGUCGAGGGGUAAUUUUCCCGAGCAAUCGGGAAGAACGACCGGCGCACGGGUGAGUAACGCGUAUGCAACCUACCUUUAACUGGGGAAUAGCCCGAAGAAAUUCGGAUUAAUACGCCAAAUAUUUUGGAAUCACAUGGUUUCAUAAUUAAAGUUCCAACGGUUAGAGAUGGGCAUGCGUGACAUUAGUUAGUUGGUGAGGUAACGGCUCACCAAGACGAUGAUGUCUAGGGGGUCUGAGAGGAUGGUCCCCCACACUGGUACUGAGACACGGACCAGACUCCUACGGGAGGCAGCAGUGAGGAAUAUUGGGCAAUGGACGCAAGUCUGACCCAGCCAUGUCGCGUGCAGGAUGACAGCCUUAUGGGUUGUAAACUGCUUUUAUGCAGGAAGAAACCCCCCGAUGUAUCGGGGGCUGACGGUACUGUAUGAAUAAGCAUCGGCUAACUCCGUGCCAGCAGCCGCGGUAAUACGGAGGAUGCAAGCGUUAUCCGGAUUUAUUGGGUUUAAAGGGUGCGUAGGCGGGAGAUUAAGUCAGUAGUGAAAUCCUGCAGCUUAACUGCAGAACUGCUAUUGAUAGUGGUUUCCUUGAGUACAGUUGAGGUGGGCGGAAUGUGUAGUGUAGCGGUGAAAUGCUUAGAUAUUACACAGAACACCAAUUGCGUAGGCAGCUCACUAAACUGUUACUGACGCUGAGGCACGAAAGCGUGGGGAGCAAACAGGAUUAGAUACCCUGGUAGUCCACGCUGUAAACGAUGAUCACUCGUUGUUGGCGAUAUACAGUCAGCGACUAAGCGAAAGCAUUAAGUGAUCCACCUGGGGAGACGAUCGCAAGAUU